UACGUAGGGUGCAAGCGUUGUCCGGAAUUAUUGGGCGUAAAGAGCUCGUAGGCGGUUUGUCGCGUCGACUGUGAAAACCCGAGGCUUAACCUCGGGCCUGCAGUCGAUACGGGCAGACUAGAGUUCGGUAGGGGAGACUGGAAUUCCUGGUGUAGCGGUGAAAUGCGCAGAUAUCAGGAGGAACACCGGUGGCGAAGGCGGGUCUCUGGGCCGAUACUGACGCUGAGGUGCGAAAGCGUGGGGAGCAAACAGG
rnacentral:rRNA from 1 species